rnacentral:rRNA from 1 species
CGGCGUGCCUAACACAUGCAAGUCGAGCGAGAAAACUCCUUCGGGAGUGAGUAUAGCGGCGAACGGGUGUCUAACACGUAAGAAUCUUCCCUUUAGUGAAGAAUACCCUCGAGAAAUCGGGGUUAAUACUGCAUAAUCCCUACGGGGCAAAGGUGGCUUCAUGCUGCCGCUGAAGGAUGAGCUUGCGGGCUAUUAGCUAGUUGGUGAGGUAAAGGCUCACAAAGGCGAUGAUGGCUAGCCGGCCUGAGAGGGUGUACGGCCACAUUGGGACUGAGACACGGCCCAGACUCCUACGGGAGGCAGCAGUGGGGAAUAUUGCGCAAUGGGCGAAAGCCUGACGCAGCGACGCCGCGUGGAGGACGAAGGUCUUCGGAUUGUAAACUCCUGUUAAGCGGGAAGAAAACCCAAUCUCUAACAUAGAUUGGGUCUGACGGUACCGCUAGAGAAAGCACUGGCUAACCUCGUGCCAGCAGCCGCGGUAAUACGAGGGGUGCAAACGUUAUUCGGAUUUACUGGGUGUAAAGGGUGUGUAGACGGUCUGUUAAGUUCGUUGUUAAAUUUUUCGGCCUAACUGAAAAAAUGCGAUGAAAACUGGCGGACUUGAGGGUGAAAGAGAGAAGUGGAAUUCUCGGAGUA